rnacentral:rRNA from 1 species
GACGAACGCUGGCGGCGUGCUUAACACAUGCAAGUCGAACGAAGUGGCGAACGGGUGAGUAACGCGUAAUCAACCUGCCCUUCAGAGGGGGACAACAGUUGGAAACGACUGCUCAUACCGCAUACUGAAGGCGGGGAUGGCGUCGGAUUAGCUAGUUGGAGGGGUAACGGCCCACCAAGGCGAUGAUCAGUAGCCGGUCUGUGAGGCUGAACGUGCACAUUGGGACUGAGACACGGCCCAGACUCCUACGGGUAGCAGCAGGGGGGAAUCGUCCGCAAUGGACGAAAGUCUGAAGGAGCAACGCCGCGUGAGUGAUGACGGCCUUCGGGUUGUAAAGCUCUGUUAAUCGGGACGCGGUACCGGAAUAGAAAGCCACGGCUAACUACGUGCCAGCAGCCGCGGUAAUAC